rnacentral:rRNA from 1 species
GUGGGGAAUAUUGGACAAUGGGGGGAACCCUGAUCCAGCCAUGCCGCGUGUGUGAAGAAGGCCUUUUGGUUGUAAAGCACUUUAAGCGAGGAGGAGGCUACCGAGAUUAAUACUCUUGGAUAGUGGACGUUACUCGCAGAAUAAGCACCGGCUAACUCUGUGCCAGCAGCCGCGGUAAUACAGAGGGUGCAAGCGUUAAUCGGAUUUACUGGGCGUAAAGCGCGCGUAGGUGGCCAAUUAAGUCAAAUGUGAAAUCCCCGAGAUUAACUUGGGAAUUGCAUUCGAUACUGGUUGGCUAGAGUAUGGGAGAGGAUGGUAGAAUUCCAGGUGUAGCGGUGAAAUGCGUAGAGAUCUGGAGGAAUACCGAUGGCGAAGGCAGCCAUCUGGCCUAAUACUGACACUGAGGUGCGAAAGCAUGGGGAGCAAACAGGAUUAGAAACCCCUGUAGUCC